GUGAAAGCUGUGGCUGCCAAUUUCCUGCUCAGAAGAUCGGAGACAUAAUGUGCUACAGAUGUAGGCCUAAAUCAGACAAGAAGCACUCUCCUCCAAAUAUUGUGUUUAGGAAGAAACAACAUCCCAAAUACAAGAAAAUGGUAAAAAUGGUGAGUGUACAUGCUUAAUGGAGCUAAAUCUUUAU